AUUGAACGCUGGCGGCAUGGCUAAAACAUGCAAGUCGAACGAUCCCUUCGGGGAGAGUGGCGAAAGGGCGAGGAAUAGAAUCGAAUGUACCCCAAGGUGGGGGAUAGCCUCUGGAAACGGAGGGUAAUACCCCAUGUGCUCUACGGAGGAAAGGUUUACCGCCUUGGGAGCAGCGAUUCUCCUAUCAGGUAGUUGGUGAGGUAACGGCUCACCAAGCCGAAGACGGGUAGCGGGUGUGAGAGCAUGACCCGCCGCAUCGGGACUGAGACACUGCCCGGACUCCUACGGGAGGCUGCAGUAACGAAUCUUCCGCAAUGGGCGAAAGCCUGACGGAGCAAUGCCGCGUGUGGGAUGAAGCAUCUUCGAUGUGUAAACCACUGUCAGGGUCUAGGAAUACUGACCAGACCCAAAGGAAGGGCCGGCUAAUUCCGUGCCAGCAGCCGCGGUAAUGUCAGUG
rnacentral:rRNA from 1 species